rnacentral:rRNA from 1 species
GUAGGGGGCGAGCGUUGUCCGGAUUUAUUGGGCGUAAAGGGCUCGUAGGCGGCUUAGCAAGUCGACCGUGAAAACCCAGGGCUCAACCCUGGGACGCCGGUCGAAACUGCUAUGGCUAGGGUCCGGUAGAGGUGAGUGGAAUUCUCGGUGUAGCGGUGAAAUGCGCAGAUAUCGAGAGGAACACCAUUAGCGAAGGCGGCUCACUGGGCCGGUACCGACGCUGAGGAGCGAAAGCGUGGGGAGCAAACAGGAUUAGAUACCCUGGUAGUCCACGCCGUAAACGUUGAACACUAGGUGUGGCGGACUUAUCCACGUCCGCCGUGCCGCAGCUAACGCGUUAAGUGUUCCGCCUGGGGAGUACGGCCGCAAGGCUA